rnacentral:tRNA from 1 species
GCACUUGUAGCUCAAUUGGACAGAGCUUUGGACUUCGGGCCCAAAAGUUACAGGUUCGAGUCCUGUUAAGUGUA